CUUAUGCAAUAAGAACAACAACACAGAGGUCCAAGUUAUAUCUUUAGAAGCCACAAGUUUAAAGAUUGCAUUCACCGAAGAAAAUUUUUUACUUUCCAAAACACUAAAACACAGCUUAUCACAGAAACAUAGAGCAACAUAAACACAUUAAGUAAACACCAAAACACAAACGCAUAACAACAAGACAAGAUAAAGCAAUUCCUCAGAGAGUUCAUAUACAACAAUCGAAGAUUACAGUAAGGCAAAUAAGUAUCUUCUUACAUAGCCAUUGAACUGAUUAGCAGCUGCCUCAACUUCAGAAACUGAAGACAUAGUCACGAAUCCAAAACCUCUGCUUCUUCCUGUCACUUUGUCAUAGAUUACCUAACAAGACAAAGAAUCAAAAACGAUUACAACACAAGAUUAAGGCAUUUUCGUAUUAGAAUCAAUCAUCAAUAGAAACCCUAAAGAACAGUACUUUCUUCUAUAUCUCACAAAUUCGAUAAAACCCUUAAUUCAUACCUCAACCAUCUCAACAUUUCCAGCGCUCUCGAAGAGCUGAGCGAGCUGAGCACUGUCGACAUUAAAGGGAAGGUUGCCAACGAAGAGUUUGAGGUCAGCAGAGAAAGAUUGCUGUUGUGGCGCCGCGUCAUCCGCGAAACCGUCUUCUUCCACCUCGAACUCUGAGGUAAUUGCAACGUUACGGACGAAGCGAGAAGCGGGAGAGUUCCAUUUGGCGGCGAUGGAGAAG
rnacentral:lncRNA from 1 species